rnacentral:rRNA from 1 species
CCUACGGGUGGCAGCAGUGGGGAAUAUUGGGCAAUGGAGGGAACUCUGACCCAGCAACGCCGCGUGAAGGAUGACGGUUUUCGGAUUUUAAACUUCUGUCGCUAGGGAUGAAGAAUGACGGUACCUCGUAAGAAAGCCCCGGCAAACUACGUGCCAGCAGCCGUGGUAAUACGUAGGGGGCGAGCGUUGUCCGGAAUGACUGGUCGUAAGGGGAGUUUAGGCGGCAUAUUGGGUUAUGUGUGAAAGCCCCCGGCUCAACUUCGGUAUUGCCUCUGAUACUGUGCGGCUAGAGAGUAGUUGCGGUAGGCGGAAUGUAUGGUGUAGCGGUGAAAUGCUUAGAGAUCAUACAGAACACCGAUUGCGAAGGCAGCUUACCACGCUACUUCUGACGUUGAUGCACGAAAGCGCGGGGAGCAAACAGGAUUAGAUACCCCUGUAGUC